rnacentral:rRNA from 1 species
AUUGAACGCUGGCGGCAGGCUUAACACAUGCAAGUCGAGCGAGCGGCGGACGGGUGAGUAAUGUCUGGGAAAGUGCGUGAUGGAGGGGGAUAAAUACUGGAAACGGUAGCUAAUACCGCAUACCAUCAGAUGGGCCCAGAUGGGAUUAGCGAGUAGGGGGGGUAAUGGCGCACCGAGGCGGCGAUCCCUAGCUGGUUUGAGAGGAUGACCAGCCACCCUGGAACUGAGACACGCUCCAGACUCCUACGGGAGGCAGCAGUGGGGAAUAUUGCCCAAUGGGCGCAAGCCUGAUGCAGCCAUGCCGCGUGUGUGAAGAGGGCCUUCGGGUUGUAAAGCACUUUCAGCGAGGAGGCGUUACUCGCAGAAGAAGCACCGGCUAACUCCGUGCCAGCAGCCGCGGUAAUAC